rnacentral:rRNA from 1 species
CAUGCAAGUCGAACGGUAACAGAACUAGCUUGCUAGUUGCUGACGAGUGGCGGACGGGUGAGUAAUGCUUGGGAAUUUGCCUUUAGGAGGGGGAUAACAGUUGGAAACGACUGCUAAUACCGCAUAAUGUCUACGGACCAAAGGGGGCUUUUAGCUCCCACCUAUAGAGAAGCCCAAGUGAGAUUAGCUAGUUGGUGAGGUAAAGGCUCACCAAGGCGACGAUCUCUAGCUGUUCUGAGAGGAAGAUCAGCCACACUGGGACUGAGACACGGCCCAGACUCCUACGGGAGGCAGCAGUGGGGAAUAUUGCACAAUGGGGGAAACCCUGAUGCAGCCAUGCCGCGUGUGUGAAGAAGGCCUUCGGGUUGUAAAGCACUUUCAGUUGUGAGGAAAGGUUAAUGGUUAAUACCCAUUAGCUGUGACGUUAGCAACAGAAGAAGCACCGGCUAACUCCGUGCCAGCAGCCGCGGUAAUACGGAGGGUGCAAGCGUUAAUCGGAAUUACUGGGCGUAAAGCGCACGCAGGCGGUUUGUUAAGCUAGAUGUGAAAGCCCCGGGCUCAACCUGGGAUGGUCAUUUAGAACUGGCAGACUAGAGUUUUGGAGAGGGGAGUGGAAUUCCAGGUGUAGCGGUGAAAUGCGUAGAUAUCUGGAGGAACAUCAGUGGCGAAGGCGACUCUCUGGCCAAAGACUGACGCUCAUGUGCGAAAGUGUGGGUAGCGAACAGGAUUAGAUACCCUGGUAGUCCACACCGUAAACGCUGUCUACUAGCUGUGUGUGUAUUUAAUACGUGCGUAGCGAAGCUAACGCGCUAAGUAGACCGCCUGGGGAGUACGGCCGCAAGGUUAAAACUCAAAUGAAUUGACGGGGGCCCGCACAAGCGGUGGAGCAUGUGGUUUAAUUCGAUGCAACGCGAAGAACCUUACCUACACUUGACAUGCAGAGAACUUUCCAGAGAUGGAUGUGCCUUCGGGAACUCUGACACAGGUGCUGCAUGCUGUCGUCAGCUCGUGUCGUGAGAUGUGGGUAGUCCGCACGAGCGCAUCCUUGUCUAGUUGCAGCAUAGUGGGCACUUAGGAGAACUGCGGUGACAAUCCGAAGAAGGUGGUACGACU